rnacentral:rRNA from 1 species
CCUACGGGCGGCAGCAGUGAGGAAUAUUGGUCAAUGGACGAGAGUCUGAACCAGCCAAGUAGCGUGAAGGAUGACUGCCCUAUGGGUUGUAAACUUCUUUUAUAUGGGAAUAAAAUGUUCCACGUGUGGGAUUUUGUAUGUACCAUAUGAAUAAGGAUCGGCUAACUCCGUGCCAGCAGCCGCGGUAAUACGGAGGAUCCGAGGGUUAUCCGGAUUUAUUGGGUUUAAAGGGAGCGUAGGUGUAUUGUUAAGUCAGGUGUGAAAGUUUGCGGCUCAAACGUAAAAUUGCAGUUGAAACUGGCAGUCUGGAGUACAGUAGAGGUGGGCGGAAUUCGUGGUGUAGCGGUGAAAUGCUUAGAUAUCACGAAGAACUCCGAUUGCGAAGGCAGCUCACUGGACUGCAACUGACACUGAGGCUCGAAAGUGUGGGUAUCAAACAGGAUUAGAUACCCUUGUAGUC